rnacentral:tRNA from 1 species
GCCCCGGUGGCGAAACUGGUAGACGCGCCCGCCUCAGAAGCGGGUUAUCUGGGAGUUCGACUCUCCCCUGGGGCACCA